rnacentral:lncRNA from 1 species
CGUUGUCCGGUUUUGGCAUUAGAGUCUGAUCUGGCUUCGUGCUUUGUAGAGCCCAUUAAUCGGAAAGUACUAUCUACCAAAUUUAUGUCCCUUUUUAUUUGUGUAACUGCUAGGUGUUUUUUACUUCUUUUUGUGGGAAUUGAUAGAUUUUUUUUUUUGGUUAUUGUAAUUUCAUGUGCUUAUGAUAUGAUAAAAGGGUGUGCUC